rnacentral:rRNA from 1 species
GAUGAACGCUGGCGGCGUGCCUAACACAUGCAAGUCGAACGAAAAGACCAUGCGCUUGCUCCUCUGCCGUUAGCGGCUGACGGGUGAGUGACACGUGGAUCCCCCACUUCUCUUUCUUGGAUAACUACGGGAAAACGGAGAUAAUACCAUAUAAUAUGGUGAACCGCAUGUUUCAGUAGUUAUUGACGGCUUUCCUGUCACUAAUAGCUGGUUCCGAGCUGCAUUAGCUAGUUGGUAAGGUAACGGCCUACCAAGGCUACGAUGCGUAGCUGAGCUGAGGGGGUGAUCACCCACACUGGAACUGAGACACGGUCCAGACUCCUAAGGGAGGCAGCAGUAUGGAAUCUUCGGCAAUGGGCGAAAGCCUGGAGGAGCAAGGCCGCGUGAGUGAAGAAGGCCUUCGGGUCGUAAAACUCUCUUGUUAGGGAAGAAAAGAUGUGUAAUUAUAUACGGAUGUAUUGACGGUACCCAAUCAGAAAGCAACGGCUAACUACGUG